rnacentral:lncRNA from 10 species
CUGCGCCGGUUGCUGCGGCUCCUCGUGCUGGGGCUCUGGCUGGCGUUGCUGCGCUCCGUGGCCGGGGAGCAAGCGCCAGGUACGCGGGACUCCGGGGUCGGGGAACCCCGGGCCGGGGCUCGGGAGCCGGACUGGGUGUCUGGAGAACAGCGCCGAACUGGGGGAACAGGCGGAUGUGGGGAUCUGGGGUCAGGUGGCCUUCAAACAGCUCGCUCCCGGCUGUGGGAAGUUCCAUCACUCUCCAAGCUUCAUUCACAAUCCGGGCCUCAGUUUCUCCCACCGUCCAAUUGGGGUUGGGGGGGGUCUUCAGUUCCACAAGUCCGAAGUACUUCGAAUGGAGAGAGAAAGCACCGCCCCCUGCUCCCGCGGCAGCUCCUGGAGCGCGGACCUGGACAAGUGCAUGGACUGCGCGUCUUGCAGGGCGCGACCGCACAGCGACUUCUGCCUGGGCUGCGCUGCAGCACCUCCUGCCCCCUUCCGGCUGCUUUGGCCCAUCCUUGGGGGCGCUCUGAGCCUGACCUUCGUGCUGGGGCUGCUUUCUGGCUUUUUGGUCUGGAGACGAUGCCGCAGGAGAGAGAAGUUCACCACCCCCAUAGAGGAGACCGGCGGAGAGGGCUGCCCAGCUGUGGCGCUGAUCCAGUGACAAUGUGCCCCCUGCCAGCCGGGGCUCGCCCACUCAUCAUUCAUUCAUCCAUUCUAGAGCCAGUCUCUGCCUCCCAGACGCGGCGGGAGCCAAGCUCCUCCAACCACAAGGGGGGUGGGGGGCGGUGAAUCACCUCUGAGGCCUGGGCCCAGGGUUCAGGGGAACCUUCCAAGGUGUCUGGUUGCCCUGCCUCUGGCUCCAGAACAGAAAGGGAGCCUCACGCUGGCUCACACAAAACAGCUGACACUGACUAAGGAACUGCAGCAUUUGCACAGGGGAGGGGGGUGCCCUCCUUCCUAGAGGCCCUGGGGGCCAGGCUGACUUGGGGGGCAGACUUGACACUAGGCCCCACUCACUCAGAUGUCCUGAAAUUCCACCACGGGGGUCACCCUGGGGGGUUAGGGACCUAUUUUUAACACUAGGGGGCUGGCCCACUAGGAGGGCUGGCCCUAAGAUACAGACCCCCCCAACUCCCCAAAGCGGGGAGGAGAUAUUUAUUUUGGGGAGAGUUUGGAGGGGAGGGAGAAUUUAUUAAUAAAAGAAUCUUUAACUUUAAA